UACAGAGGUCUCGAGCGUUGUUCGGAUUCAUUGGGCGUAAAGGGUGCGUAGGCGGCGGGGUAAGUCUGAUGUGAAAUUCCAGGGCUCAACCUUGGGACUGCAUUGGAUACUGCCUUGCUCGAGAACUGGAGAGGAGACUGGAAUUUACGGUGUAGCAGUGAAAUGCGUAGAGAUCGUAAGGAAGACCAGUGGCGAAGGCGAGUCUCUGGACAGAUUCUGACGCUGAGGCACGAAGGCCAGGGGAGCAAACGGG
rnacentral:rRNA from 1 species